rnacentral:rRNA from 1 species
UUACGGAGAGUUUGAUCCUGGCUCAGGGUGAACGCUGGCGGCGUGCCUAACACAUGCAAGUCGUACGGAGGGAGCAGGGCUUGCCCUGGUCCCUCAGUGGCGUCCGGGUGCGUAACACGUAGGUGACCUGCCCCUGGAUGGGGGAUAACGUGCCGAAAGGCGCGCUAAUACCGCAUGCGCUCUCGGGGUCAUAGCCGAGAGGAAAGCCUGGCAACAGGCGUCCAGGGAGGGGCCUGCGGCCCAUCAGCUGGUUGGUAGGGUAAUGGCCUACCAAGGCGAAGACGGGUAGGGGGCCUGAGAGGGUGGUCCCCCACACGGGCACUGACACACGGGCCCGACUCCUACGGGAGGCAGCAGUGAGGAAUAUUGCGCAAUGGGCGCAAGCCUGACGCAGCGACGCCGCGUGCGGGAAGACGCCCUUCGGGGUGUAAACCGCUUUUGCCGGGGACGAGCAAGGACGGUACCCGGCGAAUAAGGCCCGGCCAACUACGUGCCAGCAGCCGCGGUAAAACGUAGGGGCCAAGCGUUACCCGGAUUUACUGGGCGUAAAGCGCGCGUAGGUGGGGCCUUAAGUCGGGCGUGAAAGCCCCCGGCUCAACCUGGGGAGGCCGUCCGAAACUGAGGCCCUUGAGGGCGAGAGAGGGUGGUGGAAUUCCCGGUGGAGCGGUGAAAUGCGUAGAGAUCGGGAGGAACACCA